UACGGAGGGUGCGAGCGUUGUCCGGAAUUAUUGGGCGUAAAGGGCUCGUAGGCGGUUUGUCGCGUCGGGUGUGAAAACACUGGGCUUAACUCAGUGCUUGCUUCCGAUACGGGCAGACUAGAGGUAUUCAGGGGAGAACGGAAUUCCUGGUGUAGCGGUGAAAUGCGCAGAUAUCAGGAGGAACACCGGUGGCGAAGGCGGUUCUCUGGGAAUGUACUGACGCUGAGGAGCGAAAGUGUGGGGAGCGAACAGG
rnacentral:rRNA from 1 species